UAAAUUAACAAUAAAAUAAUUGCAAUUAUCAUAAUUUGAAUAUAGUUAGCACCGUAAAUAAAUGUAAUUUAUAAUAACUAUAUUUAAAUUAUGGUAACUGCAAUCAACUUUGUAAAUUUAGCAUACUGUACGUUAAGUCUUACUAAUAUUAUAGCUGUAAUAACUAUAAAAAUGGAACUCCUAACUAUAAUUACCCUAAUUCAAUUGUAGUCACAAAUAUCGAACGAUGUACUGCACUAACAAAAAUAUAAUUAUGUAAUUAUCAUAAUUUAAAUAUAGAUGGCACUAAAAAUGAUUAUAAAUUAGUAAUUUUUAUACUUAUUGUAUUUAAAUUAUUUUAAUAAUUAUUUUCUUAUCAAUAUAAUAUAUUGGGUGUUAUCAUUACUAACAUUAUACAUAAGCAAUAAUUAAAGUAUAAAAAUAAAACUUCUAAAAUUAUAAUUAUCGUAACAUUCAAUUAUAGUUACAAACAAAUAUGCAAUGUGUUACAUUGACAAAAAUGUAAUUGCAAUCAUAAUUUAAAUAUAGUUGGUACUAAAAAUAAUUAUAAAUUGUCUUUAAUGGCAACUGUGUUUAAAUUAUGGGAAUUAGAACUAUUUUUUGUCAAUGUAACAAAUUGUAUUUUGUUAUUACUAACAUUAUAACAAUAAUAACUAUAAAAAUAAAGCGCCUAACCUAAUUAAUUUAGCACUCUAUUAUAGAUCAAAUACUUUUCUUUUAUUGCAAAAAAAAAUAUUCCCCUUUUAACGUGUUAUAAAUGCUUCAAACAAAUCUCUUAAGUUAAAUCGAUGUCAAGAAUCGAUCAACUUGAUUCUCUUACUUGAUUAAAAAUACCUUGAUAAUCUACCAGAGCAAAGGAUAAACGGAAUCGUGAUUUAUAAUUCGCAGAAAUAUUUGACAAUUUAUUCUGUGCGAAUUGUCGAGCGUUAGAAACAGAGAUUCUGACAAUUGCGACACGAUGAUCUUGCGGGAGAGACGUCGAAGGUUUUUGGUGACUGAUAUAACGGUACGUUACGAAUCGGUCCGAUGUUAGAAAGUCGGUUGCACCUUUUUCAGACCGCGACGCGACGACCGCGACAGCUCGGAUGACGACGGAGAUGAGAACGACGACGAGAGAGUUCGCGCUCACUUUCCCUCGCGACGCGAGAGGCAAACGCGUAUCGUCCCCGCCGAUCGCUAAAGGGUACCAUCACCGCAACGGCGAAUUCGCUUUCGCAGAUCCCGGUCGCGGACAGAUGCCGAGACGAUUUGCACGAAGCCGGCAUGGCGGCGCGGGUCGAGUGACGCGGGACCUUUCUCGCUGAUGGACGAUAAAUAAGCUAAGCGAGCAAGGCAAAAUGGCCUACGCUAACUCGAGCGAAUUUAAUCAUUCCGGACGAGCGGGAUCUAUCCACGAACCGCACUAAAGCGAUAAUCGAUUAGGCAGAGGUCGAGGGAAAUUGGUACGAGAGAGACUAACUGGUAAGAUGAAGAUAACGGAUGACGAAAUCAAGGACAUCAGCCCUGCUAUUACGUCAAAACUAUGGGGCAUUUUUACUUUGAAAUCUUUGAAUUAUAUGAGAAGAAAAAAAGAAUAUCAGCGUAAUUAAAUCUUGCGUUGAAAUGUUAUAUCAGAUACGAAACAAAUUCGAUACAAGCUUAUGUGGCUUUUCGCGAUAAUUAACUAAACGAUAGAUGUUAGAUAACUUUAGACAACAUUUAUUGCAAUAUUACAAACAAAUUGAUUCAUUUAGGUGGUUGUGGCAAAUAAAACUGACAAAAUUAUUAUUA
rnacentral:lncRNA from 1 species